rnacentral:rRNA from 1 species
UACGGAGGGUGCGAGCGUUGUCCGGAAUCAUUGGGCGUAAAGGGCGCGUAGGUGGCCCGGUCAGUUCGUGGUGAAAGCGCGGGGCUCAACCCUGCGUCGGCCAUGAAUACUGCCGCGGCUGGAGCACUGUAGAGGCAGGCGGAAUUCCGGGUGUAGCGGUGGAAUGCGUAGAGAUCGGGAGGAACACCUGUGGCGAAAGCGGCUCACUGGACCACAACUGACGCUGAGGCGCGAAAGCGUGGGGAGCAAAC